rnacentral:rRNA from 1 species
UACAGGCUUAACACAUGCAAGUCGAGGGGCAGCAUGGUCUUAGCUUGCUAAGGCCGAUGGCGACCGGCGCACGGGUGAGUAACACGUAUCCAACCUGCCGUCUACUCUUGGACAGCCUUCUGAAAGGAAGAUUAAUACAAGAUGGCAUCAUGAGUCCGCAUGUUCACAUGAUUAAAGGUAUUCCGGUAGACGAUGGGGAUGCGUUCCAUUAGAUAGUAGGCGGGGUAACGGCCCACCUAGUCUUCGAUGGAUAGGGGUUCUGAGAGGAAGGUCCCCCACAUUGGAACUGAGACACGGUCCAAACUCCUACGGGAGGCAGCAGUGAGGAAUAUUGGUCAAUGGGCGAGAGCCUGAACCAGCCAAGUAGCGUGAAGGAUGACUGCCCUAUGGGUUGUAAACUUCUUUUAUAAAGGAAUAAAGUCGGGUAUGCAUACCCGUUUGCAUGUACUUUAUGAAUAAGGAUCGGCUAACUCCGUGCCAGCAGCCGCGGUAAUACGGAGGAUCCGAGCGUUAUCCGGAUUUAUUGGGUUUAAAGGGAGCGUAGAUGGAUGUUUAAGUCAGUUGUGAAAGUUUGCGGCUCAACCGUAAAAUUGCAGUUGAUACUGGAUAUCUUGAGUGCAGUUGAGGCAGGCGGAAUUCGUGGUGUAGCGGUGAAAUGCUUAGAUAUCACGAAGAACUCCGAUUGCGAAGGCAGCCUGCUAAGCUGCAACUGACAUUGAGGCUCGAAAGUGUGGGUAUCAAACAGGAUUAGAUACCCUGGUAGUCCACACGGUAAACGAUGAAUACUCGCUGUUUGCGAUAUACGGCAAGCGGCCAAGCGAAAGCGUUAAGUAUUCCACCUGGGGAGUACGCCGGCAACGGUGAAACUCAAAGGAAUUGACGGGGGCCCGCACAAGCGGAGGAACAUGUGGUUUAAUUCGAUGAUACGCGAGGAACCUUACCCGGGCUUAAAUUGCAGAUGAAUUACGGUGAAAGCCGUAAGCCGCAAGGCAUCUGUGAAGGUGCUGCAUGGUUGUCGUCAGCUCGUGCCGUGAGGUGUCGGCUUAAGUGCCAUAACGAGCGCAACCCUUGUUGUCAGUUACUAACAGGUUCCGCUGAGGACUCUGACAAGACUGCCAUCGUAAGAUGUGAGGAAGGUGGGGAUGACGUCAAAUCAGCACGGCCCUUACGUCCGGGGCUACACACGUGUUACAAUGGGGGGUACAGAGGGCCGCUACCACGCGAGUGGAUGCCAAUCCCCAAAACCUCUCUCAGUUCGGACUGGAGUCUGCAACCCGACUCCACGAAGCUGGAUUCGCUAGUAAUCGCGCAUCAGCCACGGCGCGGUGAAUACGUUCCCGGGCCUUGUACACACCGCCCGUCAAGCCAUGGGAGCCGGGGGUACCUGAAGUGCGUAACCGCGAGGAGCGCCCUAGGGUAAAACUGGUGACUGGGGCUA